ACAUCGUUUGCUGACAUCAAAUAAACGAUUAAAGGUUUAGCGGUUAUGGAUGGGGAUGCGUCUGAUUAGCUUGUUGGCGGGGUAACGGCCCACCAAGGCGACGAUCAGUAGGGGUUCUGAGAGGAAGGUCCCCACAUUGGAACUGAGACACGGUCCAAACUCCUACGGGAGGCAGCAGUGAGGAAUAUUGGUCAAUGGGCGAGAGCCUGAACCAGCCAAGUAGCGUGCAGGACGACGGCCCUAUGGGUUGUAAACUGCUUUUAUGUGGGGAUAAAGUGCGUGACGUGUCAUGCAUUGCAGGUACCACAUGAAUAAGGACCGGCUAAUUCCGUGCCAGCAGCCGCGGUAAAU
rnacentral:rRNA from 1 species